UACGGAGGAUGCGAGCGUUAUCCGGAUUUAUUGGGUUUAAAGGGUGCGCAGGCGGCACGGCAAGCCGGCGGUCAAAUCGCGGGGCUCAACCCCGCCCAGCCGUCGGAACUGCCGGGCUAGAGUGGGCGAGAAGUGCGGGGAAUGCGUGGUGUAGCGGUGAAAUGCAUAGAUAUCACGCAGAACUCCGAUUGCGAAGGCAGCGCACCGGCGCCCUACUGACGCUCAGGCACGAAAGCGUGGGUAUCGAACAGG
rnacentral:rRNA from 1 species